GACGAACGCUGGCGGCGUGCCUAAUACAUGCAAGUCGAACGCCUUUAUUCUCACCGGAGCUUGCUCCACCGGGAAUAAAGGAGUGGCGGACGGGUGAGUAACACGUGGGUAACCUACCCAUCAGCGGGGGAUAACACUUGGAAACAGGUGCUAAUACCGCAUAACUGCAUUUACCACAUGGUAGAAGUAUGAAAGACGCUUUCGGGUGUCACUGAUGGAUGGACCCGCGGUGCAUUAGCUAGUUGGUGAGGUAACGGCUCACCAAGGCAACGAUGCAUAGCCGACCUGAGAGGGUGAUCGGCCACACUGGGACUGAGACACGGCCCAGACUCCUACGGGAGGCAGCAGUAGGGAAUCUUCGGCAAUGGACGAAAGUCUGACCGAGCAACGCCGCGUGAGUGAAGAAGGUUUUCGGAUCGUAAAACUCUGUUGUUAGAGAAGAACAAGGGUGAGAGUAACUGUUCACCCCUUGACGGUAUCUAACCAGAAAGCCACGGCUAACUACGUGCCAGCCGCCGUAAAAC
rnacentral:rRNA from 1 species